rnacentral:tRNA from 1 species
GGCGUGGUAGCUCAGCCGGUUAGAGCGCAGGAUUCAUAAUCCUGAGGUCGGGAGUUCAAGUCUCCCCCACGCUA